rnacentral:tRNA from 2 species
UGUAAAUUAGUGUAUACUGCACAUAAAUUUUUGAUAUUUAAGUGUAAGUUUUUUUCUUAUAUUUACAG